rnacentral:rRNA from 1 species
AAACCAACCGGGAUUGCCUUAGUAACGGCGAGUGAAGCGGCAAAAGCUCAAAUUUGAAAUCUGGUACCUUCGGUGCCCGAGUUGUAAUUUGGAGAGGGCAACUUUGGGGCCGUUCCUUGUCUAUGUUCCUUGGAACAGGACGUCAUAGAGGGUGAGAAUCCCGUGUGGCGAGGAGUGCGGUUCUUUGUAAAGUGCCUUCGAAGAGUCGAGUUGUUUGGGAAUGCAGCUCUAAGUGGGUGGUAAAUUCCAUCUAAAGCUAAAUAUUGGCGAGAGACCGAUAGCGAACAAGUACAGUGAUGGAAAGAUGAAAAGAACUUUGAAAAGAGAGUGAAAAAGUACGUGAAAUUGUUGAAAGGGAAGGGCAUUUGAUCAGACAUGGUGUUUGUGCCCUCUGCUCCUUGUGGGUAGGGGAAUCUCGCAUUUCACUGGGCCAGCAUCAGUUUUGGUGGCAGGAUAAAUCCAUAGGAAUGUAGCUUGCCUCGGUAAGUAUUAUAGCCUGUGGGAAUACUGCC